rnacentral:lncRNA from 1 species
AAAUGCCGUAACAUUAAACAUAAGCAGCUGUUUGUCCCUGGAGUCACCCUGGGGAUCCGGGCAGCGGGCUCAGGGUGGCCAUGGGGCAAGCACUGCUCUGACUCACUGCCAGCGACUGCUGGGCUAAGGAAACACAAUGACUUCACCACCACUUCUGAUUUUCCUAAAUUUUAUUUAUUGACCUCUACCAGAGAGGCUUUGGAAGACUGUCAUAUAAAUAUUUGCUUUGAGAGGAAAUGUAAAAACAAACAAGACAAAACAAUCCUAACAAACUCCCCAACUCCCAGACAUAAGCCUUGUCUUAGCCUUUACUGCCUAAGACAACUCACAUUUUCCUUCAAGCCCCAGCAGACAAUAGCAAAUCCAGUUUGUUCACCCACCCCGGCUGCAUUUCCUUUGGGAAAUACUUCAUGCAUUGACAGAAUAAACACUCUUGACUCAUCCCAGCAACACGGAGCACACACACAAGCCUCCAGUCACGCCAGGGAUCCUCAGGCUUGCAAAACACCCCGUAUACAGUUACAUUUUGGCAAGUCCUUCUCAUUAGAAGCUCAGCUUUGGCGAGUCCUUUUAAUCAACAGUACAUCUGUCAGGGCCUCCGUGCAGAACUCCCCCGCUGCACACAUGGAAGAAAUUCUCGCUCAUUUUCCAUGCUUCCUUCCCCGAUUUUUGCCAACCUCUGAAAUUACAGAAGGAGAAAGCGUGGCACCCCUGACACUCCGCCCAGCUGACGGGGCUGGACAGCAGGAGACACCGAGCGGUAGCUCCACGGGUAGCACGGAGGCGCUGCUGAUGCUGGUUAUUCUAUCCCGGCACGACCCGGCCCGGGGGCCGCUGGCAGCAGAGGGAUCCCCCGGGGCUCCGCUCCCUGAGGGGCCGGACGGGAGCUGUGCUGUCCCCUCAGGGAGCUCCCGGCCCCGUGCUGUCCCCUCAGGGCACUACCGCCACUCGGCCCCUCUCUGUUCCCUCAGGGAACUCCUGCCGCCUGCGCCCGGCCCCGCGGGGUUCCCUCAGUGA